rnacentral:tRNA from 3 species
AGGUCUGUAGCUCUAAUCGGCUAGAGCACCGGAUUCCAAAUCCGGGUGUUGGGGGUUCGAGUCCCUCCAGACCUGCCA